CCUACGGGAGGCUGCAGUGAGGAAUAUUGGUCAAUGGGCUUACGCCUGAACCAGCCAAGUCGCGUGAGGGAAGACUGCCCUAUGGGUUGUAAACCUCUUUUGUCAGGGAGCAAUUGGCGCUACGUGUAGCGUUAUCGAGAGUACCUGAAGAAAAAGCAUCGGCUAACUCCGUGCCAGCAGCCGCGGUAAUACGGAGGAUGCGAGCGUUAUCCGGAUUUAUUGGGUUUAAAGGGUGCGUAGGCGGAAUGCCAAGUCAGCGGUAAAAUCGCGGGGCUCAACCUCGCUCCGCCGUUGAAACUGGCGUGCUUGAGUGGGCGAGAAGUAUGCGGAAGGCGUGGUGUAGCGGUGAAAUGCAUAGAUAUCACGCAGAACUCCGAUUGCGAAGGCAGCAUACCGGCGCCCAACUGACGCUGAAGCACGAAAGCGUGGGUAUCGAACAGGAUUAGAUACCCUGUAGUC
rnacentral:rRNA from 1 species